rnacentral:rRNA from 1 species
GACGAACGCUGGCGGUGUGCUUAACACAUGCAAGUCGAACGGUAAGGCCCUUUCGGGGGUACACGAGUGGCGAACGGGUGAGUAACACGUGAGUAACCUGCCCUCAUCUCUGGGAUAACAGUCGGAAACGGUUGCUAAUACUGGAUAUGAGCUUGCAAGGCAUCUUGUGGGUUGGAAAGAUUUUUUUUGGUUGGGGAUGGACUCGCGGCCUAUCAGCUUGUUGGUGAGGUAGUGGCUCACCAAGGCUUCGACGGGUAGCCGGCCUGAGAGGGCGACCGGCCACAUUGGGACUGAGAUACGGCCCAAACUCCGACGGGAGGCAGCAGUGGGGAAUAUUGCACAAUGGACGGAAGUCUGAUGCAGCAACGCCGCGUGCGGGAUGACGGACUUCGGGUUGUAAACCGCUUUCAAUUGUGACGAAGCUUUUUUGUGACGGUAGCAGUAGAAGAAGCACCGGCUAACUACGUG